UACGAAGGGGACUAGCGUUGUUCGGAUUUACUGGGCGUAAAGCGCGCGUAGGCGGAUCGCUAAGUCAGGGGUGAAAUCCCAGGGCUCAACCCUGGAACUGCCUUUGAUACUGACGAUCUGGAGAUCGGGAGAGGUUGGUGGAAUUCCGAGUGUAGAGGUGAAAUUCGUAGAUAUUCGGAAGAACACCAGUGGCGAAGGCGGCUCACUGGCCCGGUACUGACGCUGAGGUGCGAAAGCGUGGGGAGCAAACAGG
rnacentral:rRNA from 1 species